UGGCUCUCGCAUCGAUGAAGAACGCAGCGAAAUGCGAUAAGUAAUGUGAAUUGCAGAAUUCAGUGAAUCAUCGAAUCUUUGAACGCACCUUGCGCCCUUUGGUAUUCCGAAGGGCAUGCCUGUUUGAGUGUCAUUAAAUUAUCAACUCUGAAAGCGUUUGCGCGCAUUUCAGAGCUUGGACUUGGAGUGUGCCGGACUUUGUUGUUCAGCUCCUCUCGAAAUGCAUAUGUGGAACCUUUUGCUGAUCUGCUCCAGCGUGAUAAUUAUCUACGUUGCAAGUCGUGAAGCGUCUUACGGGAUCUGCCUACAACCGUCGGUUUCCGACAACAUACGAUGACGAUUUGACCUCAAAUCAGGUAGGAUUACCCGCUGA
rnacentral:misc_RNA from 1 species